rnacentral:rRNA from 1 species
GCGCACGCUGGCGGCAGGCCUCACCCCUGCAAGUCGCACGGACCCUUCGGGGUUAGUGGCGGACGGGUGAGUAACACGUGGGAACGUGCCUUUAGGUUCGGAAUAGCUCCUGGAAACGGGUGGUAAUGCCGAAUGUGCCCUUCGGGGGAAAGAUUUAUCGCCUUUAGAGCGGCCCGCGUCUGAUUAGCUAGUUGGUGAGGUAACGGCUCACCAAGGCGACGAUCAGUAGCUGGUCUGAGAGGAUGACCAGCCACACUGGGACUGAGACACGGCCCAGACUCCUACGGGAGGCAGCAGUGGGGAAUCUUGCGCAAUGGGCGAAAGCCUGACGCAGCCAUGCCGCGUGAAUGAUGAAGGUCUUAGGAUUGUAAAAUUCUUUCACCGGGGACGAUAAUGACGGUACCCGGAGAAGAAGCCCCGGCUAACUUCGUG